ensembl:lncRNA
CAUCCACUUCCGGCGCACCGUGCCUUGAGCAGCUCUCUCCGCUGGCUGUGCUGUCUGUCUGCGAAUGGUCCCAGCUCCCUCCAAACGGGACCCUGGGCAGCCCUCGGCACCUUCAUGAGAUGCUGGCUCCCUGUCCGCACCUUUCCUCCGUCUUCCCAGAGGCCCCAGUGCUGCAGCCCAGCCUCCCGAGACGCCUGGUGGGAGAGUCCCGGGUCAGCCACUCACGCCGCAGGCUGCGGACGAGACCGCCACAUAGUAUUGACACAGUACUGCCAAGGACGAGCCCAGCCCACACACAGAUGACCGGACUCCAGCAUGUGUGAGCAGCUUUCCUCCACCACGCUGUUCUGCCAUGUUGUUCCUGCCGACUAACCAUGGACUGAACCCAGUGAAAUCCUGAGCCCAAAUACACCUCUCCUCCUUCAAGCCGCAAGUGUCGGGUAUUUUGUUACAGUGAUGGGAAAGUGACUAAG